AGUGGUUUUAAAGCUGUGUAGUAUGUGUCUGAAAAUAUUAUAAAUCAUGUUUAAUGUCCUCUUAUCACUUCUCAUCAGUGAAGAGGUAGAUAAAAGUGAUGCAAAAUUACUAGUCAACUUUGGAAAUACAAAAAUCAGCUGUUGAAAAUAAAUUUGAUUAAUCUUCAGAAAAACAACAGUGGGUAUUUCCAGCUCUACCUAGGGAUUUGUGAAAUGUUCUAAUUACAUGGAGAAUAUGGUAUAAGAAUUAGCUAAUCUUAGAAUCACAGAAUUUUACCAGUAGAACAGAUGGCCUAAGAGAUCUGACUCCAUUAUUUUAUAACUGAGGAAAUGGAGGCCUUGUCCAAAGGAGUGGCUUAUUUGAAAUUGCACAGCUGGUUAAUGAAGAGCCCAGAUCCAGCCAUAAUUCCUGUCUCUCAGAGAAGUUUCCCCUCCCAUUCUGCUAGUACAGCCCCAUAUGCCAAUUCCCAGCAGCUGGAACUCCUCUGACAGAGGGACAAGGCCUUUAGCAUAACUGUGCCUGAGCAAAAUCCAUCCAGUCGAUUUUUCCUUUCUCCCUGCAGGCCUUCACCUAAGCUUUCCCCUGCUAUGGUCCUACUUAUUCCUUCCUCACUGAGGCAUUCCAGUCCUUAACCUGAUCCCUCAAUGAGUCCAUAGUGGCCACUCACAAGUCGGACCCAUUAACCAGGCCAAUAUGCUCAGCUAGAGACCUAAAUAAAAUUUCCCAUACGGUUUCAGUAUGGCCAACAAAGAUUAUCCCCCAGCCUGGGAUCCUUGAACCCCUUGGUAAACAACUGGCAUGAGGUUCAACUUGAGAAACCUUUUAAAAAUGUUUAGAGGCCCCUUUUAUUUUUUCCAUUGAGACUGAAACUAACUGAAUGAACAUCAAUGGUCAAAAUGCAUAUUCUUAUGAUUUAGGUCAUACGACCUAUUUUAUUAAGUAGACGAGCAUUUUUAAGAAAACGAUUUUAACCAACAAAAUAUUAGUAUCUGGGCACAUUUGAGAUGAAUACAGCUUUGUAAUCUUUCAUCCAUAAAUGAAAUCACUAGCCACGUCUUAAAGUCAGACAGUCCUACAGAUACAAAUUAUUUAUCAUUACCAAUCUACAGAGGAUCUCGGUACCAGAUAUGAGAAGGCAGCCUUGGAGCAGCUGAGCGGUAGAUAAGGACAGAUAGAAUCUUCAUACAUGCACAGAAUCUACCUUGCUGGGCAUUUCAUAUUCUGUAAACCUGAGUAGGGACAAAAUAAAAGGUUGUGAACCCCUAUUCAUGAUAGCCCAUGAAGGGCUUCAGCUUUAACACUUAAUGAAUCCAUCUAACAAGAUAUACCUGCUCCUUCAUCUUAUUCAUUUUUCAAGCUAAUGUCUUAUUGGACCUUAGAUAAAACACACACACACACACAAAGAGCAGCAAAGUCAUCCAAUAUAGAGAAACAAAGGAAGGACAGAAUGUCAACAGACAUUGUAAAGUUUCAUUUGGCACAUGCACAAAAAGUCAUUGUCCCAGCCAGGUGACCAUAUGCCUAUAACAUGGCAGAGCUGUUCUCUGGGCACCAAUCCAGGGCUUCAGCUACCACUUUCUAAUUUGGAUUAAUAAUUCAUUGUAUUACCUGAAAAGGUUGCAAUAAAAAAUAUCAUGUCACCUGAACCAUAUGGAAUCGCCCAUCCCAAGUUACACACUGUUUUCAGUGUUGUCUUGUGAAAUGAGUCUUCACUUUAUCCUGACUGUGGUAAUACACAGUCACUCCAUGAGAAUGCAAAAAGCAGCAUCUAUUGAGGGUGACAUGGCUAUAGGUUCCGUAAGGAAGAAAAGGAAAGAAGAGAGGAAAUGAGGAUGAUAAGAAGGGAAAUCAAUAUGUGUAGAGGCCUACCAUGUGCCAAGCAUACUGAGAACACACAAUCCUUAUGACAGUUCUGUAAGCAGGUAAUGGUACUGCCAUUGGAGAGAUGAGAAGACUAAAAUUUAGGAAAGGUAACUAAAUUACCCAUAUUCAGUCAUCUAGUUGGAAAGACUCCAAAUUCUUCAUGGAAAUGACCAGCUGAAUGGGCAAAGAAACAUACCUGAAAAAAAGAAAACCUAGAAAAUAGCUCCUAGGCAAUAUAUGAGCAGAUAUUUGAUGUGUGAGACAAAUUGAAUGCACAAGACCUGAGGACAUUUCAAAUAAUAUUAAUCAACUAGUAUUAGGAAGAAUUAGUCAGAACGCUUCAUGGAGAUGGGACUUGACAUGGCUCCAAAGCUUCCGCACUUAAAAUAAUGAGUCUCUCUGUAUGUAAAUACUGACCUAAUUCCUGAAGCUGAGGAACUCUGGAUGAGUGUGAAACUUAAAAGUAUUUGAUUUUGGACAGGAGGAGAUUCAGGCUGGCCAGAGUAAAAGGCUGAAGAUUGCAUCUCUCUUCUCUGUGAGGAGGGAGGAAGGAAGCAGAGAAGAGAGCUUCCUCUUCCAGCAGAAGCCCCUCCAGCUGGUUGAUAGAUCACAUCUGCAAUAAAAGGCAUCUUUUAUGUUCUUACUUCACCAAUAGGAGUUCCUGUCAUGGCUCAGUGGUUAACGAACUCAGCUAGUAUCCAUGAGGAUGCGGGUUCGAUCCCUGGCCUCACUCAGUGGGUUAAGGAUCACAGCAUUGCCAUGAGCUGUGGUAUAGUUUGCAGACGAGGCUUGGAUCUGGCAUCGUUGUGGCUGUGGCAUAGGCCAGCAGCUAUAGCUCCCAUUCGACCCCUCGCCUAGGAACCUCCAUAUGCUGGGCAUUUUUAUUUUUUAAAUUUUAUUAUUAUUUGUCUUUUUGUAUUUUUAGGGCCGCACCCAUGUAUAUGGAGGUUCCCAGGCUAAGGGUCCAAUCGGAGCUGUAGCUGACGGCCUACACCACAGCCACAACAAUGCAGGAUCCAAGCCGGUCUGCAAUCUAUACCACAGCUCACGGCAACACCGGAUCCUUAACCCACUGAGAAAGGGCAGGGUUCGAACCCUCAACCUCAUGGUUCCUAGUUGGAUUCCUUUCUGCUGCGCCAGGACAGGAACUUCCGAAGCAGCAUUUUUAAUAAAAAUGUGCAUAUGCAAUCACUAAAGUCAUGACAAUGAUGAUUUUAUACCUUAUAAUGUACAGCACUAUAAUUCUCUUAAAGAACUUUCAUAGAGGAGUCCCCUCUUAUCCUCAGGGGAUACAUUUCAAGACUCGUAGCAGUAGGUGUGUAAAACCAGGGAUAGUCCAAACCCUGUCACUUUAGUUUUGGUCCAUACUUAAAUGAUUUUGGCACUAGUCUUUCAAAAUAUCCAUCAUCAUAUUGCAAAACUUCAGUGUCCUCUUGGAUGAUUUAUCUCAUUGCCUAAAGUCCUAGGUUCAUAGUUCUUCAAUCUCCUAAAAUCUAAGGAUCUUAACCUUGCAUUUUCUGAAUCUUAUCAACCAUGGAACUCUUUGAUUUCAAAACCCUAGGAUUCUAAUAUUAGUCUCUGACCACUACCUUCAGAUUCCUGCCAACCUGUACACAUGAACAGACAUCAAACAGAAACAGCAAAUUCAACAUAUCUAAGUAAUAACUGCUUAGAACCUGAACUAAGGUUGUGCCUCAGGCACCGCUCCAGCCCAUGCACCCUGUCCUGACCUUCUUGCUCGCCUCCCUGACAAGGAGCAGCAGCAGGUCCACACCAACUCCAGCUCCCACCAGCUCCCCUCCUUUAGAUUUUCUGGGUCCUAGAACAGGCACAUGUGCUACAACUUGUGAAAGGCACCAGCUUCCUCUUUAGGUGGCUCAUGUUGCCAAUUAGAUGCUACAAGAUCAAACAGGGUUCCCUUCUAUAACAUGAGUUCCAGUUUGUCUCCUCAGAUUCCAUUUUGUCCCCAUGGGUCCCAGUUCAGCUUUCCUUCCCCUAUUUCAGGUCAAAUUUCUCUCCCAACUACAUGUCCUACUUCAGACCCAUCACCAUGUGCAGAGAGGCCUUCCAGAAAUUACUUCCCAGUUCCUCUUCAGGAUGAUUAGCAACUUUUUCUGAUCCUUCCACCAUCACAUUUGGGACCUUUGUGUCUCUAGAUUCUCCCACAGAUUUGUACAAUCUAAUUCCUGUAAUAAAUCUAGUCUCUAUCAUUCAUAGUGGUUCUCCUUCCCUGAUCUGCAACCUAGACACCAGAAUAGACGCUUUUGUACAAAAUUCUAAGUCCUUUCUAUGGGGGAGAAAACAAGGUCUUAAAUGCAGAAGAAUCCAAAUCAGAAGAAAUUUUUAUAUUCUUAAACGUGUCUAAAAAAUUCUGAUUUGCUUAGAAAUAAAAGAAAGAGCAGGACUGAAAAACUAGGUGCUAGCCAUGGUUUUUAAUAGUGCCACAUCACUUAAGGAUGGUAUUUAUACCUAUUAACAUGCCUUUCUCUCCUUUCCAGAUAAAAUCCAAGAGACAGUGAUUUAACCUAAUUGAAAUAAUAAUUGAAAUAAUCGCUAACUGAAAUAAACAGAAUCACAAAUGAUUGUCUACUAAUUGGUCUUAUGCUUUCCACCACCAACUUCAAUCAAACAAUGCAUAGGAGAUUUCAGUACAAAAUAGAAGUUUAAGCCCAUUUAUUUAUUCAGCUUCUCUUCCUCUGUAGACCCCGAUAAGACUAUAGUAAAGCAUCUAAAAUUAUAAAAACAACAAUUAAAAGAACAGGAGGAGGACAAUCCACAAACAAGUACUUUGACACAUUUCUGGAAUAUGGAAAUUUGGAAAGAAUAUUUUCAGCUACAGCUGUAGCCUGAAAUAAAAGAGAGGGGGGCUGCAACAGAUAGGACAAA
rnacentral:lncRNA from 1 species